CGUUGUGAGAGCAGUGUGUUUACAGGUUUGUUGGGUUGCACAUUGUCGUGCAGUCGUUCCCAGAGGAACAAUGCUGGUCCUCUCCCCUCAGCGCAGUAUGCUGUGUGUAAACAACGUGGAUGGGAGCACUCGUAGGGACAAACAGAAGGACACGAUUCUGAGAGUAAAUAGACGGUCCAUCACCACGUCGACUUUUCAUCCUCCCAGGCGAUGGUUCAUUUCCAUUCCAGCGGCGAUGAGAGAGCGACAUGACAGAGCAAGGCAUCGCUCCAGCACUCCCAGGGCCAGAUCUCCUCGGUGAUAACAUCAACACACCUGCGAAACCACGUCGACCGAGCCGCUCAUCCGACGGUGUUUAGACUGGCCGUGAGAAAAUGACAGCCGCAGCCGUGAGCAUUACCGCACAGGCUCUCCGUCAUCACCGCUGAGAAGACUCUGUGUGGGUGUCAGUUAAGAAGUACAUGUAAGAAAAGCAGCCAGUGCAUUGUUAUAAGUGGAGUGUACUCACUGUUACGAGUGGUCUAUUGAGUCGAACAUUCGGGCUGCAGAAGUCCAAGCACUAUUUUGAGGUUGGUGUUUUGGUAUUCACUUUUUAUAUCAUAUUUUAUUUUUUUUAUUAUAUAUAUUUUUUACAAAUUCUGAUAAAAAAGGAAUGUGUUGAACUUGGACUUGCAGAUGGAUUUGAUAAACACUGAUGUUAUAUUGUGUGAUGUGGAUGUAAACAGCACACGUGCUCACUUUUGAAUGCAGUUUACCCUUAACUGUUGCCCCAGAACUCUGAAUCGAUUCCUUUCCGAUUUGCACUAAUAGCUGUUAUCAUUCGGGUGAUGCAACACAAUGUCAAAUCACGGUCAGUCAAUGUUGAAAUAAAUCCAGAAACUCG